GAAAAGGCGCGAGAAAUGUAAACAUUGUUGCUCGCGUUCCUGGGAGCUUGAAGAAAUUUACGAGAUUCAACAUUUCUACGGAAUUGUGGGCAUUACCUGUACAAUGUAUCUGUGCAGUACAGUACUAUAAACAAUAUAUUUCGGAGACAACUGAAAGCGAGCAUUGGAAGUUCGGAACCAUCAACGCACAUGGUUGCUGAGAGUCAACAGCAGUCUCCUGAGCAUCUAUCUACCAUUUCGUGUGGCGAAGACUGGCUUCACCGCCGGACAGACAUCUUUGGAGUUUUAUGAAGAUGACCAAGUCUCCCAUUCCCAUGCUGGUGACAAAUAACACCUUCCAAGAUGUCAUGACCACAAGAGAAAUAGCACACUGUUCUUCUUUCAGAAGGAAAUCCAAAAGUGCCAGCAUCUGCCUGCGAACUUGCAAAAUUUACUUUUAAAUUUUAUUUAUACAUCAAAUACAUUUGUUAAUUAUA